UAGUGAACCAGUACCGUGAGGGAAAGGCGAAAAGAACCCCGGCGAGGGGAGUGAAAAAGAACCUGAAACCGUGUACGUACAAGCAGUGGGAGCACGCUUAGGCGUGUGACUGCGUACCUUUUGUAUAAUGGGUCAGCGACUUAUAUUCUGUAGCAAGGUUAACCGAAUAGGGGAGCCGAAGGGAAACCGAGUCUUAACUGGGCGUUAAGUUGCAGGGUAUAGACCCGAAACCCGGUGAUCUAGCCAUGGGCAGGUUGAAGGUUGGGUAACACUAACUGGAGGACCGAACCGACUAAUGUUGAAAAAUUAGCGGAUGACUUGUGGCUGGGGGUGAAAGGCCAAUCAAACCGGGAGAUAGCUGGUUCUCCCCGAAAGCUAUUUAGGUAGCGCCUCGUGAAUUCAUCUCCGGGGGUAGAGCACUGUUUCGGCAAGGGGGUCAUCCCGACUUACCAACCCGAUGCAAACUGCGAAUACCGGAGAAUGUUAUCACGGGAGACACACGGCGGGUGCUAACGUCCGUCGUGAAGAGGGAAACAACCCAGACCGCCAGCUAAGGUCCCAAAGUCAUGGUUAAGUGGGAAACGAUGUGGGAAGGCCCAGACAGCCAGGAUGUUGGCUUAGAAGCAGCCAUCAUUUAAAGAAAGCGUAAUAGCUCACUGGUCGAGUCGGCCUGCGCGGAAGAUGUAACGGGGCUAAACCAUGCACCGAAGCUGCGGCAGCGACACUGUGUGUUGUUGGGUAGGGGAGCGUUCUGUAAGCCUGCGAAGGUGACCUGUGAGGGUUGCUGGAGGUAUCAGAAGUGCGAAUGCUGACAUAAGUAACGAUAAAGCGGGUGAAAAGCCCGCUCGCCGGAAGACCAAGGGUUCCUGUCCAACGUUAAUCGGGGCAGGGUGAGUCGACCCCUAAGGCGAGGCCGAAAGGCGUAGUCGAUGGGAAACAGGUUAAUAUUCCUGUACUUGGUGUUACUGCGAAGGGGGGACGGAGAAGGCUAUGUUGGCCGGGCGACGGUUGUCCCGGUUUAAGCGUGUAGGCUGGUUUUCCAGGCAAAUCCGGAAAAUCAAGGCUGAGGCGUGAUGACGAGGCACUACGGUGCUGAAGCAACAAAUGCCCUGCUUCCAGGAAAAGCCUCUAAGCAUCAGGUAACAUCGAAUCGUACCCCAAACCGACACAGGUGGUCAGGUAGAGAAUACCAAGGCGCUUGAGAGAACUCGGGUGAAGGAACUAGGCAAAAUGGUGCCGUAACUUCGGGAGAAGGCACGCUGAUACGUAGGUGAAGUCCCUCGCGGAUGGAGCUGAAAUCAGUCGAAGAUACCAGCUGGCUGCAACUGUUUAUUAAAAACACAGCACUGUGCAAACACGAAAGUGGACGUAUACGGUGUGACGCCUGCCCGGUGCCGGAAGGUUAAUUGAUGGGGUCAGCGCAAGCGAAGCUCCUGAUCGAAGCCCCGGUAAACGGCGGCCGUAACUAUAACGGUCCUAAGGUAGCGAAAUUCCUUGUCGGGUAAGUUCCGACCUGCACGAAUGGCGUAAUGAUGGCCAGGCUGUCUCCACCCGAGACUCAGUGAAAUUGAACUCGCUGUGAAGAUGCAGUGUACCCGCGGCAAGACGGAAAGACCCCGUGAACCUUUACUAUAGCUUGACACUGAACAUUGAGCCUUGAUGUGUAGGAUAGGUGGGAGGCUUUGAAGUGUGGACGCCAGUCUGCAUGGAGCCGACCUUGAAAUACCACCCUUUAAUGUUUGAUGUUCUAACGUGGACCCGUGAACCGGGUUGCGGACAGUGUCUGGUGGGUAGUUUGACUGGGGCGGUCUCCUCCUAAAGAGUAACGGAGGAGCACGAAGGUUGGCUAAUCCUGGUCGGACAUCAGGAGGUUAGUGC
rnacentral:rRNA from 1 species